rnacentral:rRNA from 1 species
UACGGAGGAUCCAAGCGUUAUCCGGAAUCAUUGGGUUUAAAGGGUCCGUAGGUGGACCGUUAAGUCAGAGGUGAAAUCCUGCAGCUCAACUGUAGAAUUGCCUUUGAUACUGGCGGUCUUGAAUCAUUGUGAAGUGGUUAGAAUAUGUGGUGUAGCGGUGAAAUGCAUAGAUAUCACAUAGAAUACCGAUUGCGAAGGCAGAUCACUAACAAUGCAUUGACACUGAUGGACGAAAGCGUGGGGAGCGAACAGG